AGAGUUUGAUUAUGGCUCAGGAUGAACGCUAGCUACAGGCUUAACACAUGCAAGUCGAGGGGCAGCAUUGGAGUAGCAAUACUCAGAUGGCGACCGGCGCACGGGUGAGUAACACGUAUCCAACCUGCCGCUUACUCGGGGAUAGCCUUUCGAAAGAAAGAUUAAUACCCGAUGGUAUAAAGAGUUCGCAUGUUCUCUUUAUUAAAGAAUUUCGGUAAGCGAUGGGGAUGCGUUCCAUUAGAUAGUUGGCGGGGUAACGGCCCACCAAGUCUACGAUGGAUAGGGGUUCUGAGAGGAAGGUCCCCCACAUUGGAACUGAGACACGGUCCAAACUCCUACGGGAGGCAGCAGUGAGGAAUAUUGGUCAAUGGACGAGAGUCUGAACCAGCCAAAGUAGCGUGAAGGAUGACUGCCCUAUGGGUUGUAAACUUCUUUUAUAAGGGAAUAAAGUGAGGGACGUGUCCCUUUUUGUAUGUACCUUAUGAAUAAGGAUCGGCUAACUCCGUGCCAGCCGCCGC
rnacentral:rRNA from 1 species